rnacentral:rRNA from 1 species
UUCUUUGGUCAAUUUAGAGGAAGUAAAAGUCGUAACAAGGUUUCCGUAGGUGAACCUGCGGAAGGAUCAUUACUAGAGCAAAGGAUAGACAGCGCCCGCGGAGCUCGCUCCCGGGGCUACCCUACUCCCGUAGGGUUUAGAGUCGUCGGGCCUCUCGGAGAAGCUCGGUCCUGAACUCCACCCUUGAAUAAACUACCUUUGUUGCUUUGGCGGGCCGCCUCGUGCCAGCGGCUUCGGCUGUUGAGUGCCCGCCAGAGGACCCCAACUCUUGUUUUUAGUGAUGUCUGAGUACUAUAUAAUAGUUAAAACUUUCAACAACGGAUCUCUUGGUUCUGGCAUCGAUGAAGAACGCAGCGAAAUGCGAUAAGUAAUGUGAAUUGCAGAAUUCAGUGAAUCAUCGAAUCUUUGAACGCACAUUGCGCCCUCUGGUAUUCCGGGGGGCAUGCCUGUUCGAGCGUCAUUAUAACCACUCAAGCUCUCGCUUGGUAUUGGGGUUCGCGGUUUCGCGGCCCCUAAAAUCAGUGGCGGUGCCUGUCGGCUCUACGCGUAGUAAUACUCCUCGCGAUUGAGUCCGGUAGGUCUACUUGCCAGCAACCCCUAAUUUUUUUUAAGGUUGACCUCGGAUCAGGUAGGGAUACCCGCUGAACUUAAGCAUAUCAAUAAGCCGGAGGA